rnacentral:rRNA from 1 species
CACUCAUUUAAAGAGUGCGUAAUAGCUCACUAGUCGAGUGAUUGUGCGCCGAAAAUGUAACGGGGCUAAAAUUCAUACCGAAGCUUAGGAAUGAUAGUAAUAUUGUUGGUAGAUGAGCGUUGUGUAAGUCUGCGAAGCUACACCGAAAGGAGUAGUGGAGAUAUCACAAGUGAGAAUGCCGGAAUGAGUAGCGAGAAUUAUGUGAGAAUCAUAAUGGUCGAAAAUCUAAGGUUUCUUGAGGAAGGUUCGUCCGCUCAAGGUAAGCCGGGAGCUAAGGCGAGGCCGAGAGGCGUAGUCGAUGCACAUACGGUAAAAAUUCCGUAGCCACCGAAGUCGUUAAAUACAGGGACACAGGAACAUAGCCCAUCCCCACCGUUGGUUGAGUGGGGCGUAAGGGAGCGAAAAUUAGUAGCGAAGUGGGUGAUUGUACACUGGCGAGAAAAGCUGUAUGAAUUGACAAGGUGCCCGUACCGCAAACCGACACAGGUAGAUGAGGAGAGAAUCCUAAGACCAGCGGGAGAAGUGUUGUUAAGGAACUCGGCAAAAUGACCCCGUAACUUCGGGAUAAGGGGAGCCUACGAGAGUAGGCCGCAGAGAAUAGUCUCAAGCGACUGUUUAGCAAAAACACAGGUCUAUGCUAAAUCGAAAGAUGAUGUAUAUGGGCUGACGCCUGCCCGGUGCUGGAAGGUUAAGGGGAAGUGUUAGAGCAAUCGAAGCACUGAACUUAAGCCCCAGUAAACGGCGGCCGUAACUAUAACGGUCCUAAGGUAGCGAAAUUCCUUGUCAGGUAAGUUCUGACCCGCACGAAUGGCGUAACGACUUGAGAGCUGUCUCAACAACAUACCCGGCGAAAUUGAAGUACUGGUAAAGAUGCCAGUUACCCGUGAUAAGACGGAAAGACCCCAUGGAGCUUUACUGUAACUUGAUAUUGAAUUUUUGUAUUACAUGUACAGGAUAGGUGGGAGACAGAGAACUAAUGCCGCCAGGUGUUAGGGAGUCGAUGUUGGGAUACCACUCUUGUAAUAUGAAGGUUCUAACCUGCACCCGUGAAUCCGGGUGGGGGACACUGUCAGGUGGACAGUUUGACUGGGGCGGUCGCCUCCUAAAAGGUAACGGAGGCGUUCAAAGGUUGGUUCAGCACGGACGGAAAUCGUGCAACGAGUGCAAACGCAUAAACCAGCCUAACUGCGAGACCGACAAGUCGAGCAGUAACGAAAGUUGGAGUUAGUGAUCCGGCGGUAUGAGAGUGGAAUUGCCGUCGCUCAACGGAUAAAAGCUACCCUGGGGAUAACAGGCUGAUCUCCCCCA